CCUCAAUUUGUGAUGAGUGUGCCAAAAAGCGUUACAGCAGAUACAGGAAUGGAUGUACUAACGCAUGCAAUGGAAUCAUAUGUAUCUGUAAUGGCUUCAGACUACACAAGAGGUUUGAGUCUAC
rnacentral:sRNA from 1 species